GGAGACAAUCUCAGCAGCAGAAACCAUGGAACCUGGACCCGAUUUCGCUAUAAUCUCGAAUAAAUCAAGAUCAACGGCGGCUUUCAAAGCAAAAGGAAGCACUGUUGAAGUAGCGUAUUGAAUUGCCCAGCUUUCGGGUUGUUCAUCUUGAUCAUGGUAAUGGCGUAUUUGAAGUAUGAAAUUCCGCUAUUGGAUCGCAACACCAGAUUUGCAUUGUGGCAGAUUAAGAGGCAAGCAGUUCUUACGCAGAUGGAUCUGGAGGAGGCCCUGCUAGGGAUAGAUAAGAUGCCUUCAACAUUUACAAGUGAAGAGAAAAA